AACACGGACCAAGGAGUCUAACAUCUAUGCGAGUGUUUGGGUGUCAAGCCCGAGCGCGUAAUGAAAGUGAACGGAGGUGGGAACCCGCAAGGGUGCACCAUCGACCGAUCCUGAUGUCUUCGGAAGGAUUUGAGUAAGAGCAUGGCUGUUGGGACCCGAAAGAUGGUGAACUAUGCUUGAAUAGG
rnacentral:rRNA from 16 species